AUUGAACGCUGGCGGCAGGCCUAACACAUGCAAGUCGAACGAGUGGCGGACGGGUGAGUAAUGUCUGGGAAACUGCCUGAUGGAGGGGGAUAACUACUGGAAACGGUAGCUAAUACCGCAUACCAUCGGAUGUGCCCAAAUGGGAUUAGCUUGUUGGUGGGGUAAAGGCUCACCAAGGCGACGAUCCCUAGCUGGUCUGAGAGGAUGACCAGCCACACUGGGACUGAGACACGGUCCAGACUCCUACGGGAGGCAGCAGUGGGGAAUAUUGCACAAUGGGCGCAAUCCUGACGCAGCCAUGCCGCGUGUAUGAAGAAGGCCUUCGGGUUGUAAAGUACUUUCAGUGGGGAGGCGUUACCUGCAGAAGAAGCACCGGCUAACUCCGUGCCAGCAGCCGCGGUAAUUC
rnacentral:rRNA from 1 species